GAGAGUGGGUAGUCCGCACGAGCGCAACCCUAUCCUUAGUUGCCAGCACAUUAUGGUGGGGACUCUAAGGAGACUGCCUGGGAUNACCAGGAGGAAGGUGGGGAUGAUGUCAAGUCAGUAUGUCCCUUAUGUCCAGGGCUACACACGUGUUACAAUGGUUGGUACAGAGGGCAGCUAAGCCGCAAGGUGGAGCCAAUCCCCCAAAACCAACCCCAGUUCGGAUUGGAGUCUGCAACUCGACUCCAUGAAGCAGGAAUCGCUAGUAAUCGUGGAUCAGAACGCCACGGUGAAUACGUUCCCGGGUCUUGUACACACCGCCCGUCACGCCGUGGAAGUCAGUAGUACCCGAAUCGAGUGGCCCAACCUUAGGGAGGGAGCUCGUUAAGGUAAGACUGGUAACUGGGGCGAAGUCGUAACAAGGUAGCCGUACCGGAAGGUGCGGCUGGAUCACCUCCUUUU
rnacentral:rRNA from 1 species